rnacentral:lncRNA from 1 species
CAAGGUAAUCCUUUCUAUCAGUGCAGCUGCAGGCAUUCCCCAUGCAAGUUUCCAACUUCCUUAUCUGAGUAUGCCUAAAAAAGGAAAGGAAUGUGCUUACUAAGCCCCACUGUGCUUGCUGGGACCCACCGUAUGUAUGUGAAGCUAGCUGAUUACCCAGGAAGCUCCCUCUCUGUGCCAGAGUGCACUUCCUUAUCUAUGUUUGCAGCCCAAUCUUCCAGGCUGCUCUUUGUUAGAAGAGAAGUGAUUUCUUGGGCUGCUUUUCGUUAGAAGGAAAGUUCUGCCGAGGACUCUGCCCUAUCUGCCUUGCUAGUUUCUUUCUACUGUCUCUCUCACUAGUUUUUCAAAAGUCCUUUUCUGGGCCCCAAGGAGGGUGAUUUGAUGAGGAUAACAUGGGACUUGAUGUGGAUUUGAAUAUUGUCUCUACCACUAUUUGUAACUAUUUGACCUUCAACAAUCAAUGCCCUUAAGAAUGCAGUGAGAUAUGCACAGAGUGCCUGUGACAUCACUGUAUGGGUCUGAACUCUCCAGAGAAACAGAAUCAAGUGGAUAUGGAGAGAGAGAAAAAGAUUUAUCUUAAGUCAUUGGCUCACACAACUGUAUAAACCUGGUGAAUCUAAAAUCUGACUGGGGAGGCCAACAGACUGAGGACUGACUCAGGAAAAAGUUGAACUUCAAGUCUGAAGACAGUCUGCUGGUGAGCCAGGAAAAGCCAAUGUUGCAGAUGAAGUUGGAAAGCAGUCUGCUGGCAGAACUUCCUCUUGCUCAUGGGAGGGUUUAUCUAAGUGUCACCCCCUUCAAAGCUGAAAAAUACACAGGAACAUCAUCAACGGUGCUUAGUACUUCUCAUGUGGCCCCAUGAUCAUCAUGUUUGAGAUACUUCUGCAAGAAGCUCCAAACAGUGAACUACUGAGAGAACACUUGUGGGAAUAUUUGCAGAGACAAACAAAUGUCAUCUUAAAAUACCAGCUACUGUAACUUACCCACAACAAGUAGGCUUCUUGGUCUGUAUUAACCCUGUAGGUACUAUUGUUGAAAUAGGCAUCUCCCCUACUCAGGAAUGUGGGCAAAUCUGAUCAUGCCUCUUUAAGGUUCUAAUUUGACAGAAGCACGUGAAUAAGCAAUCAUUUAGAAGAGUAUAUGCCUCCAAAUCAGAGCAAUACAAAUAAGAGCAGGGAAAGCUAUUUCACUUCACUGCUCAUUUCCCAAGUAUCCAAGUAAAACACUUCCUUAAAGUGUCACAUGCAUUAAAACACAAAGGAGAAAAACAGGCAGAGGUAAGCAAAGUUUAAAUCUGUAAAUCUGUUCUUUAAGACUCCAAUUAAUAAAAACUCAGGGAUUCUACUUGGAAUAUCCUACCCAUAACAUCAUAAUGUCAAUAAUCCAACAGUCAAGAGCCCCAGAAUCAGGGUCUAGAAUGCCAGAUGAAGAAUAGAGAGGAAUCCCCGUGAAUCCUGGGGUUUUGUAUAAUGGCAAACACUAAGAAGUAAGAUAGAAAGAGUGAAAUCCUAUUGACACUGUUGAGUCUGGACACCAUCCUAAAAAUGUCCUGUUUCACUAAUUGGAAGGGCAUCCAAGUAAGGAGAAGCUUGAUGCCAUAUGACAACAUCAGGUACUCAGCUCAUUUCUCUCUCUCUUUCUCUCUCUUUUCCUUUACGUCACCAAGGACAAACUCAGGAUGUUGACAGGACAGACUUUUGUAGGCAAACGGUUUGGCCAAUCUCUCACCAGUAUAUUAACCACAUGGGCAAAGAAAAUAUUUUUUCAAAAUGGAUGUUUUUGCUUUAGGGUGGAGGGAUAUGAUAUUUUUCUUUCUAUCUUAAUUUCCUUCCAUGUUUAUGUUUAAAAUUACUUAGUAAGUAAAAGUAAUGGUUAUGUUAGAUAAAAUUCAUUCACCACCCUUAAUAUGACUCAGUGACUCAAAGACAAAGUUCCAGAGCAAAGGGUCAAUCUUGUGAGAGAGGUCAUGCAGAAUUUACAAAACAAAAUUUAUACAGAACACUCAGAAGUAUAAAAAAGAUGAAGUUCAUUAUUGUUUAUAAUUACUCACUUACUCUGAAGCUACCUUUCCUCCUGCUGGCAGAGAAAAAUUCAAAUUAAUUAAAUUAAUUUUAAUUAAGGGCAACUGACUUUGUUCCUGUUUAAAACAUUUCACUUUGGGAUUAACUCAGCUUCAUUUGGGUAAAUUGCCCAGGAAAUUCAAAGACUGCUUCCCUCCUCUCUUAAGGGGUCACUUUGCCCAUAUCUUCUUCCCAAGGUGAUAUCUGGGGGCAGAGAAAAGCUGGCAUAUAGUCCUUGGAGUCCUGAGUCUUCAGCUACACGCUGGUUUUGUCCCUGAAUGUCCUUGGCUGGUGUUUACUUAGGUGUGGCCAAUUUCACUGUCCUUUAUGGGCAUCCGCUGGCAUCUGCUGCUGAUGUCCAAGGUCUCUGGGUCCCUCAAAUCACCAGCCCUCUAUGGUUUGUGGCCUCUUGCUUCUUAGCCCUGAAGUCUAUACCAAGACAACAUUGUUCUCAGCACCUUGGUGUCCUCUCCCUGGGGCAGACAGGAACUCUGGGCCAUAAGGAACCCUCUACCCUGGAAGAGGGAUGGUGGAAGUUUCACCACUUCCCUACCACAGUAGUCACAGGGGGGACACGGGGGACAAGUCAAGAUGUGUUGACUCUCCCUCAAGCUAUCUGGGCUUUCUGUGAGGGUUUCCAAUGCCUCAUCACACCCUGCCCCAAUUUUGCUUAAGUAAGGUGGGGUUGGGGAGGAAACAGUCAUUUCUCAGUGACCAAGCUGCGGUACACAUCCUGGUUGUGCCCUCUCAAAAUCUCCCUUCCUUCUCCAGGGCAAUGGUUUCUAUUUUCUCUUCCUGUCUGGUGGAAAUUUCCCACAAGUCAUUUCUCCUGCCUGCUCUCCACUUGUGGCUUUGAUCCUCUGUGACCUAGCCUGGCUUUCUAUAUGUUAAUGGAAACCUCCAAGAAUUUUAAAAACUUUUUUCUCUCUCCAUGAAGCCUGAUUUCUAGGACCAUUACCUUGCUGUAGAUUCAAAAUAUUGUCUU